CUUGGGAGACACGGGAGUCUAUGCUCCAGCAGUACCCUCAUCUCUUUUAAGGUUAGAUCUCCAUGUGCUUAUGUGUUAUGUAUGUAUGUUAUGUUUUAUGCCAUGCUAUGUGCUAGUUGAGGGACAUUCGGGGACGAAUGUUCUUAAGGGGGGGAGAAUGUAAUACCCGGCUAGACUCCGGUAUCGGAAUUCCUACCGUCCGGUGGAAUCUCGGAUGUCGGAAGCCUCUAGUAGGGU
rnacentral:lncRNA from 1 species